rnacentral:rRNA from 1 species
CCUUACUGCUAUCGGGGUGGGACUAAGACAUGCGAGUCGAGCGUCUCUAGCUAUGUUGAGACGCGGCAGACGGCUCAGUAACACGUGGCUAACCUACCCUCAGGACGAGGAUAAACCCGGGAAACUGGGGCUAAUACUCGAUAGGUGAGGAUGUCUGGAAUGACUUCUCAUCUAAAGGGCCUUGGAAACAUGCUUCCAUUGUCGCCUGAGGAUGGGGCCGCGUCCGAUCAGGUUGUUGGUGGGGUAACGGCUCACCAAGCCUAUAACCGGUACGGGCCGUGAGAGCGGUAGCCCGGAGAUGGGUACUGAGACAAGGACCCAGGCCCUACGGGGCGCAGCAGUCGCGAAAACUCCGCAAUGCACGAAAGUGUGACGGGGCUACCCCGAGUGCCAUCCGCUGAGGAUGGCUUUUCUUUGGUAUAACUAGCCAGGGGAAUAAGGAGAGGGCAAGACUGGUGUCAGCCGCCGCGGUAAUACCAGCUCUCCGAGUGGUAGGGAUGAUAUUGGGCUUAAAGCGUCCGUAGCCGGCUCAGCAAGUUUCCUGUUAAAUUCAGCGACCUAAUCGUUGACCCGCGGGAAAUACUACUAAGCUAGGAGGCGGGAGAGGUCGACGGUACUUCUGGGGUAGGGGUGAAAUCCUAUAAUCCCGGGAGGACCACCAGUGGCGAAGGCUGUCGACUAGAACGCGCUCGACGGUGAGGGACGAAAGCUGGGGGAGCGAACCGGAUUAGAUACCCGGGUAGUCCCAGCCGUAAACGAUGCGAGCUAGGUGUUGGGAUGGCUACGUGCCAUUUCAGUGCCGCAGGGAAGCCAUUAAGCUCGCCGCCUGGGGAGUACGGCCGCAAGGCUGAAACUUAAAGGAAUUGGCGGGGGAGCACCACAAGGCGUGAAGCUUGCGGUUCA